rnacentral:rRNA from 1 species
UACAGAGGGGGCAAGCGUUAUUCGGAAUUAUUGGGCGUAAAGGGCGCGUAGGCGGCCAUGCGUGUCUUCCGUGAAAUCCCUCGGCUUAGCUGAGGACGUGCGGAAGAAACUGCAAGGCUCGAGUCCGGGAGAGGGGGGUGGAAUUCCCAGUGUAGCGGUGAAAUGCGUAGAUAUUGGGAGGAACACCGGUGGCGAAGGCGGCCCCCUGGACCGGUACUGACGCUGAGGCGCGAAAGCGUGGGUAGCAAACGGG